rnacentral:rRNA from 1 species
UGCCGCAGUUAACGCAAUAAGUUCUCCGCCUGGGGAGUAUGCACGCAAGUGUGAAACUCAAAGGAAUUGACGGGGGCCCGCACAAGCGGUGGAGUAUGUGGUUUAAUUCGAAGCAACGCGAAGAACCUUACCAGGCCUUGACAUCCCUUGCAGAGGUAUAGAGAUAUAUCCGAGGUUAUCAAGGAGACAGGUGGUGCAUGGUUGUCGUCAGCUCGUGUCGUGAGAUGUUGGGUUAAGUCCCGCAACGAGCGCAACCCUUGUGAUAUGUUACUAACAUUGAGUUGAGGACUCAUAUCAGACUGCCGGUGAUAAACCGGAGGAAGGUGGGGAUGACGUCAAAUCAUCAUGCCCCUUAUGGCCUGGGCUACACACGUACUACAAUGGCGUCUACAAAGAGCGGCAAGCCUGUGAAGGCAAGCGAAUCUCAUAAAGGACGUCUCAGUUCGGAUUGAAGUCUGCAACCCGACUUCAUGAAGCUGGAAUCGCUAGUAAUCGCGAAUCAGCAUGUCGCGGUGAAUACGUUCUCGGGCCUUGUACACACCGCCCGUCAAACCAUGGGAGUUGGUAAUGCCCGAAGCCGGUGGCAUAACCUUUCGAGGAGUGAGCCGUCGAAGGCAGGACCGAUGACUGGGGUU